rnacentral:rRNA from 1 species
UACGUAGGGUGCGAGCGUUAAUCGGAAUUACUGGGCGUAAAGCGUGCGUAGGCGGUUCGCUGUGUCCGAUGUGAAAGCCCCGGGCUUAACCUGGGAAUGGCAUUGGAAACUGGCGGGCUUGAGUGUGGCAGAGGGGGGUGGAAUUCCGCGUGUAGCAGUGAAAUGCGUAGAUAUGCGGAGGAACACCGAUGGCGAAGGCAAUCCCCUGGGCCUGUACUGACGCUCAUGCACGAAAGCGUGGGGAGCAAACAGG